rnacentral:tRNA from 1 species
GCCGGGAUGGUGAAAUUGGCAGACACGCUAGCUUGAGGGGCUAGUGGGAGAAAUCCUGUGCGAGUUCAAAUCUCGCUCCCGGUA